ACAGUCUCACCAGGCAGUCACACCUGUCAUUCACGUUGCCAUCACCCUGCCUCUGCCUCCCAUGUUCUGGGAUCACAGGUGUUUAUGAAAAAAAAAUGCACAAUAUCCCGACUGACCGGAAUAAUUGAUGAAGAAGGGUGCUGGAUCCGUGGGUCAGAGAACACACAGGACCAGCUUGCCACCCCAAGGCCAAAGUCUGGUGUCUCGGAUUUGGCCCUGCGUUGCUCACUCCUGCUGCAUCUUGUCCAGCCGAGGGACAAAACACCCUGCCACCUCCCUGAAGAACAGAAAAGAAGUUACAGAGGCAGAUUCCAGCACAGCCAGAGACUGAGAUGUUGAGCUCAGGGGGAGCAGUGAUCACCAAGGCACACGCUGCCAGAAGCCCCAGGAAAGCUGGACAAGACACACUGGCCCAAGUGGUAGAAUGACAUGUCAUGGACAUCAGCACCUGGGCUGCCCAUCCAAGACCCAUCAAAUGGAGAAUAGCACAGCAGAGUCUUUCCCACUUUGCAAAACCUGGCACAAGAACCAGAGAAGCCAGAGUAGCAGCAUGUAUCCCAAAACUGCCGGAAAAAAAGCCAGAGAGGAUGGCAUGUUGACUUAUGAUCAGUUGUGCUAAUAGGUAUUGUGAGAAGAGGUCUCCUCCUUGUCAGAUCCCAUCACAUCUGGAUGCCAUUCUUCACCAUAAGCCUGGAGUCCUGCCUCAGCUGCCAACAUCCUGCUUAACCUUCCUUGGGAGGAAGUGCCUGUUUUCUCUUCCAUAUUCUGGAUUCACUCAUUAUGCCCAGCACUGGGGCAUUUCAGAUAGAAGCAUUCUGAGACAUUCCUACUUCCCAGAAGCUGCCAAAUGUAUGUUACACCUUUGUCAUGUGUAAGCCAGGGUCCACUUCUGGCAGAUGCUGCCUGGCUUGGUCAGUGAGUCUCUCCCUCAGCGGUUCGGUACCGUUCUCCCUGCCUCACACAUCCCGCAUGUGACUCUGUCAGCUCCUGCCGUUUGGCUGGCCCGAAGAGGGAGAAGAUGUGGUUGGAGGAAGAACCUUAGUCUGCUGGGAGGCUGGAGCCUGGCCCCACCUAGGCAGAAGGUCGCCAACCCUCCGCUCACGUUCUGCCUGUCUCCUACCCAUAACUCUCAGCCUUACCUUUUGUCUGUCUUAUCCAGGACAGCUGUACUUUACUUUUUUCAAUUAAACAAAAUUUGGUUACUUUUGAUUAUUGCAAA